rnacentral:rRNA from 1 species
UAACACGUAAACAACCUGCCUUCAGGAUGGGGACAACAGACGGAAACGACUGCUAAUACCGAAUAAGUUCCAAGAGCCGCAUGGCCCAUGGAAGAAAAGGUGGCCUCUACCUGUAAGCUAUCGCCUGAAGAGGGGUUUGCGUCUGAUUGGCUGGUUGGAGGGGUAACGGCCCACCAAGGCGACGAUCAGUAGCCGGUCUGAGAGGAUGAACGGCCACACUGGAACUGAGACACGGUCCAGACUCCUACGGGAGGCAGCAUG